CCCUUAGAUGUUCUGGGCCGCACGCGUGCUACACUGAGUGGAUCAGCGGGUCAGGUUGCGCGAAAGUGUUUCCUAAUCUUUAAAUCCGCUCGUGAUGGGGAUUGACGGUUGCAAUUUUCCGUCAUGAACGAGGAAUACCUUGUAAGCGCGGGUCAUCAUCCCGCGCUGAAUACGUCCCUGCCCUUUGUACACACCGCCCGUCGCUCCUACCGAUUGAGUGGUCCGGUGAGGCUUUGGGAUCUGAGCGGAAAGAGCGUUUCGCUGUUUCUGCCCGGAAAACUCAGUCGAACCUUAUCAUUUAGAGGAAGUAAAAGUCGUAACA
rnacentral:rRNA from 1 species